UAUUUAUUAAUAGUAAAUGAAUGAUGAAUAAAUUGAAUAAGGUUGAUUAUUGUAAUGACUCUCAAAGGUAUUUUUGGAAUUUUUGUAAAAAUGACCAUUUUAUCUAUCUUUUUAGUUGCCCCAAGUUAUUUUCGAUUGGUACCGGGUGUUGAUUUUUAGAAAAUUCUAUGAAAAGUUAAGUCUUUGAAAAUUUUGAGUUUUCAUAAGUUUUAAGUAUUAAAAAGUGGUAUUUGGGGUCAAUCGGAGCUACAGAUCUCGGAAUAGAAUUCUGUUGAUUCCAGCAGCUCCGAAAUGUGAAAUUGGGUUAGGAGACUUUACGGAAUCAGUUUUGGAGUUGUAACGAAGUUUUGAGGCCUUAAGUUGAGAAAUUGAGAAAUUUUAAGCUAAGGUUUGACUUUGGUCAACUUUUGGAGUUUCGAUGCUCAGAAUGAAAUUUUGAGGACUUCAUUGGAUUCGGGAUAUGGUUUUUGGUCUAGAAGAAGUGUUGGUUAAAUUUUUAGAGGUCCGAGUUCGUUUUGGUAUUUUGAAGGCCUAAGUGGGUUUAGUUGUGAUUUUUUGAGUUUUGGUUCAACGAGAUCUCAGAUUCAAAUUAGGCUGGUAGCACUGUUGGAAUCACUAUCGAGGCAAUCGAUACGAAUUUGAGACCAUUUGACGCUUUUGACUUUGAAAGUUAGCCUAUGGUUGACUUUGGUCAAUAUUCUUGGAAAACGCUCUUGAAUGAAAAUUCUGACAGCGCGAUUAGUUACGAAAUGUCGAUUUUGAUCUAGAACGACCAUUCGUUUGCUUUUCGAGGCUUCCACACUAAUAUCGAGGCCCGUUGUGGAAUGUUACUUAAAAUAAUUUUUGGGUGUGGGUCCCAUUUUUUGUUAAAAUGAUCUCGUAUGGGAAUUUUGAAUGCGCCAUUGAGCCCGUCCGAGAUUUUUGGACUUUUCCAAAAUAUGUGUUGCAGAAAAUCUGGUGCAAGCCCGUUUUUAGGUUUGGCUUCAAUUUUAAAACCCAUAACUUGAGUUAUAUAACUCCAAAUUGGGUGAUUCAAAAGGCACUAAUGAGAUUUUUCGUGGGGAACGCAUUGGAGAGCUUGAAAACUGAUUUGGAGCAUUUCAUUCAGAGGCUAUCUUGCGUGGAAUUUUGAGGAGAACAUCGUGGAAGUUUUAAAAUAUGCUUUUGGAACGUCGUUCGAGCUUGACAGCGUUCUGAGGCCGUUCGAAAGGGUAAAUCUCCAGCAUAGUGAUUUAAAGCUCGCAUGUUUAGCCUACAGGACUGAGCACCAGCUACUGCCGUGGAUAGAUCGAGCCUGUUGAAGUCAACUUUGAAGACUAGAGUGAGCACUUGACGUUUUUGGAUCAUUCUUGUCUCAUUCAGUACGGAUGACCCGUCUUUUGUCUUUUGAGACUAGCCAGUUGCUGUAUAUAUGUCCGGUCCAUUUUCGAGACUUGUACUCGUCUUUUAUUUUGUAGCAGUUUUGUACUUGUGACUUUCAGAUUUUGGGAGGGAUCUUUAG